rnacentral:rRNA from 1 species
UACGUAGGGGGCAAGCGUUAUCCGGAUUUACUGGGUGUAAAGGGGGCGCAGACGGCGAUGCAAGCCAGGAGUGAAAGCCCGGGGCCCAACCCCGGGACUGCUCUUGGAACUGCGUGGCUGGAGUGCAGGAGGGGCAGGCGGAAUUCCUGGUGUAGCGGUGAAAUGCGUAGAUAUCAGGAGGAACACCGGUGGCGAAGGCGGCCUGCUGGAUUGCAACUGACGUUGAGGCCCGAAAGCGUGGGGAGCAAACAGG